rnacentral:rRNA from 1 species
GGCGAACGCUGGCGGUAUGCUUAACACAUGCAAGUCGAACGAGACGAAGAUGAAGUGCUUGCACGGAUUCUUUAGAAAGUGGCGAACGGGUGAGUAACGCGUGGGUAACCUGCCCUAUGGAAAGGAAUAGCCUCGGGAAACUGGGAGUAAUGCCUUAUAAUAUAUCGAAGUCGCAUGGCUUUGAUAUUAAACGCUCCGGUGACAAAGGAUGGACCCGCGUCCCAUUAGCUAGUUGGAGAGAUAACAGCCCACCAAGGCGACGAUGGGUAACCGGUCUGAGAGGGCGAACGGUCACACUGGAACUGAGACACGGUCCAGACUCCUACGGGAGGCAGCAGUGGGGAAUAUUGCGCAAUGGGGGCAACCCUGACGCAGCAAUACCGCGUGAGUGAAGAAGGUUUUCGGAUCGUAAAGCUCUGUUAUUGCGGAAGAAAAAAAGACGGUACCCAAGAAGAAAGUCCCGGCUAACUACGUGCCAGCCGCCGCGGUAA